rnacentral:rRNA from 1 species
AACACGGAGAGUUUGAUCCUGGCUCAGGAUGAACGCUGGCGGUCUGCUUAACACAUGCAAGUCGAACGGAGUAGCAAUACUUAGUGGCGGACGGGUGAGUAACGCGUGAGAAUCUGCCUUCAGGACGGAGACAACAGUUGGAAACGACUGCUAACCCCCGAUGUACCGAAAGGGAAAAUAUUUAUAGCCUGAAGAUGAGCUCGCGUCCGAUUAGCUAGUUGGAGGGGUAAAAGCCCACCAAGGCGACGAUCGGUAGCUGGUCUGAGAGGACGAUCAGCCACACUGGGACUGAGACACGGCCCAGACUCCUACGGGAGGCAGCAGUGGGGAAUUUUCCGCAAUGGGCGCAA